rnacentral:lncRNA from 1 species
AUUUUCUGACAUUUGAAAAGAUCUGAAGAUACGCCCCUUGGAUGCCUGCAGAGAAGCUCUGGGGCUUCAGUCAAUGACUCAGGGUAGCCACCGAACAUGAUGCUCGGGCAGUGGGUGCCACCUGGACUCCACUCUCCCCUCUCUCUGGGAUCAUAGAGUCCAAGGUGUUCUGUGGCCUCUCGGCCAAUCCCAGCAGCUCAGCGUGCAGAAGACCGAGGAGCCAUUGGAAAAGAAAAAGAGAACAUAUAUCCCCCUACCUUUUGAUUUCCAACAGUCUACUGAGAGGCCAAGAUUAUUUGCAGGGAAAGAAAAGGGGUCAAAAUGUUUUGCCAGUAACUCCCAAAUCAUCUACAGCCAAGGAGAAAAGUGUUUCAAGACAGAGGUGCUCAAUGGUAUCAAAUACUGCCAACAGACCAAGUAAUACAUGCAUUGAAGUGUCUACUGGAUCUAGCUAUAUGAAUUUUUAAUUUAGGACACUUAGGCCAUACUGAAGCAAGGUGACAAAAUGAAUAGCUACAAUGUCUCGUGAAUCUUGGGUUUCCAUUCACCCUGGUAUUCAAGAGAAAUUCUUGCAUCAUGGAAGUUGCAGUUGGAUAGGACUUUCUCAGCUGAACACUGUCAUCUGCCAGAGCUUCAGGCAAGAACCCAGAACAGAUGAAACCCCAGACAUGACAAAAUAAGCCAAAGAAUACCAGGCCAAGGUGUGAAAGGCCAGAUGAGAACAAGCAGCGUACACGAUUCUGUUGCCAACAGAUCUCCCCUAACAGUGUCGUGCACCAAAUUUCCACAGUGAAUGUCAGGAAAAAAUGGCAAUUGAGGUGGGUGGUCAAAAGAGAAGCACAGUCUAUGAUGAAGUCACCCCAGAGAAGUCCUUUUUCCGUUUUCUCCUGAGAAAUUACCAGAAGAAAUUAAAAUCCUUUUGAGUAUUGCAAAAAAAAAAAAAAAA